CCAAUAGCGUAUAUUAAAGUUGUUGCAGUUAAAAAGCUCGUAGUUGAAUUUCGGGAUCAGUACGCUGGUCGUACCUUCAGUACGUACUGGUGUCACUGAUUCCUCCCUUCUGAAGAACCAUCAUGCCAUUCAGUUGGUGUGGCAGGGAAUCAGGACUGUUACUUUGAAAAAAUUAGAGUGUUUAAAGCAGGCUCGCGCUUGAAUACAUUAGCAUGGAAUA
rnacentral:rRNA from 1 species